GUGGGGAAUCUUGCGCAAUGCGCGAAAGCGUGACGCAGCAACGCCGCGUGAGGGAAGACGGCCUUCGGGUUGUAAACCUCUUUCAGUUGGGACGAAGCCUCUGCGGCUAAUACCCGUACGAGGUGACGGUACCUUCACAAGAAGCCCCGGCUAACUACGUGCCAGCAGCCGCGGUAAUACGUAGGGGGCAAGCGUUGUCCGGAAUCAUUGGGCGUAAAGAGUGUGUAGGCGGCUUGGUAAGUCCGCUCUGAAAGCCUGGGGCUCAACCCCAGGAGGCGGGUGGAUACUGUCAAGCUUGAGUCCGGAAGAGGCGAGUGGAAUUCCCGGUGUAGCGGUGAAAUGCGCAGAUAUCGGGAGGAACACCUAUGGCGAAGGCAGCUCGCUGGGACGUGACUGACGCUGAGACACGAAAGCGUGGGGAGCAAACAGGAUUAGAAACCCCAGUAGUCC
rnacentral:rRNA from 1 species